rnacentral:tRNA from 1 species
GCGCCGGCGGUGAAAGGCGAACAUCGCUGCCCGGAAAGAAGAAGAUGCGGGUUCGAGUCCCGUCUGACGCA